UACGUAGGGGGGCUAGCGUUGUCCGGAAUCAUUGGGCGUAAAGAGCGUGUAGGCGGUCCGGUAAGUCCGCUGUGAAAGUCGGGGGGCUCAACCUCGAAUGCCGGUGGAUACUGUCGGGCUAGAGUGCGGAAGAGGCGAGUGGAAUUCCUGGUGUAGCGGUGAAAUGCGCAGAUAUCAGGAGGAACACCGGUGGCGAAGGCGGGGUCUCUGGGCCGAUACUGACGCUGAGGCACGAAGGCCAGGGGGAGCAAACGGGG
rnacentral:rRNA from 1 species